rnacentral:rRNA from 1 species
UGGGGAAUAUUGCACAAUGGGCGAAAGCCUGAUGCAGCGACGCCGCGUGAGGGAUGGAGGCCUUCGGGUUGUAAACCUCUUUCGCUCAUGGUCAAGCCGCAGCUUUGGGUUGUGGUGAGGGUAGUGGGUAAAGAAGCGCCGGCUAACUACGUGCCAGCAGCCGCGGUAAUACGUAGGGCGCGAGCGUUGUCCGGAAUUAUUGGGCGUAAAGGGCUUGUAGGCGGUUGGUCGCGUCUGCCGUGAAAUCCUCUGGCUUAACUGGGGGCGUGCGGUGGGUACGGGCUGACUUGAGUGCGGUAGGGGAGACUGGAACUCCUGGUGUAGCGGUGGAAUGCGCAGAUAUCAGGAAGAACACCGGUGGCGAAGGCGGGUCUCUGGGCCGUUACUGACGCUGAGGAGCGAAAGCGUGGGGAGCGAACAGGAUUAGAUACCCUGGUAGUCCACGCUGUAAACGUUGGGCACUAGGUGUGNNGCCACCCGUGGUUUCUGCGCCGUAGCUNACGCUUUAAGUGCCCCGCCUGGGGAGUACGGCCGCAAGGC